UACGAAGGGGGCUAGCGUUGUCCGGAAUCACUGGGCGUAAAGGGCGCGUAGGCGGCUCAUGAAGGCUGUGGUGAAAGUCCGGGGCUCAACCUCGGAUCGGCCGUGGCGACUCGUGGGCUGGAGCACUGUAGAGGCGGGUGGAAUUCCGGGUGUAGCGGUGAAAUGCGCAGAUAUCAGGAGGAACACCGAUGGCGAAGGCAGGUCUCUGGGCCACUACUGACGCUGAGAAGCGAAAGCAUGGGGAGCGAACAGG
rnacentral:rRNA from 1 species